UACGUAGGGAGCAAGCGUUAUCCGGAUUUACUGGGUGUAAAGGGAGCGUAGACGGAAUGGCAAGUCUGAUGUGAAAGGCGGGGGCUCAACCCCUGGACUGCAUUGGAAACUGCCAGUCUUGAGUACCGGAGGGGUAAGCGGAAUUCCUAGUGUAGCGGUGAAAUGCGUAGAUAUUAGGAGGAACACCAGUGGCGAAGGCGGCUUACUGGACGGUAACUGACGUUGAGGCUCGAAAGCGUGGGGAGCAAACAGG
rnacentral:rRNA from 1 species